rnacentral:rRNA from 1 species
GACGAACGCUGGCGGCGUGCCUAAUACAUGCAAGUAGAACGCUGAAGGAGGAGCUUGCUUCUCCGGAUGAGUUGCGAACGGGUGAGUAACGCGUAGGUAACCUGCCUGGUAGCGGGGGAUAACUAUUGGAAACGAUAGCUAAUACCGCAUAAGAGUAGAUGUUGCAUGACAUUUGCUUAAAAGGUGCAAUUGCAUCACUACCAGAUGGACCUGCGUUGUAUUAGCUAGUUGGUGGGGUAACGGCUCACCAAGGCGACGAUACAUAGCCGACCUGAGAGGGUGAUCGGCCACACUGGGACUGAGACACGGCCCAGACUCCUACGGGAGGCAGCAGUAGGGAAUCUUCGGCAAUGGACGGAAGUCUGACCGAGCAACGCCGCGUGAGUGAAGAAGGUUUUCGGAUCGUAAAGCUCUGUUGUAAGAGAAGAACGAGUGUGAGAGUGGAAAGUUCACACUGUGACGG